rnacentral:rRNA from 1 species
AUUGAACGCUGGCGGCAUGCUUUACACAUGCAAGUCGAACGGCAGCACGGGCUUCGGCCUGGUGGCGAGUGGCGAACGGGUGAGUAAUGCAUCGGAACGUGCCCAUGUUGUGGGGGAUAACUACGCGAAAGCGUGGCUAAUACCGCAUACGCCCUGAGGGGGAAAGCGGGGGAUUCUUCGGAACCUCGCGCAAUUGGAGCGGCCGAUGUCAGAUUAGCUUGUUGGUGAGGUAAAGGCUCACCAAGGCGACGAUCUGUAGCGGGUCUGAGAGGAUGAUCCGCCACACUGGGACUGAGACACGGCCCAGACUCCUACGGGAGGCAGCAGUGGGGAAUUUUGGACAAUGGGGGCAACCCUGAUCCAGCCAUGCCGCGUGAGUGAAGAAGGCCUCGGUUGUAAG